AUUGAACGCUGGCGGCAGGCCUAAUACAUGCAAGUCGAACGAGCGGAGGACGGGCGAGUUAUGUCUGGGAAACUGCCUGACGGAGGGGGAUAACUACUGGAAAACGUAGCUACUACCGCAUACCACCAGUUGUGCUCAGAUGGGCGUAGCUAGUAGGGGGGGUAAUGGCUCACCUAGGCGACGAUCCCUAGCUGGUCUGAGAGGAUGACCAGCCACACUGGAACUGAGACACGGACCAGCCUCCUACGGGAGGCAGCAGUGGGGAAUAUUACACAAUGGGCGCAAGCCUGAUGCAGCCAUGCCGCGUGUGUGAAGAAGGCCUUCGGGUUGUAAAGCACGUUCAGCGAGGAGGCGUUACUCAAAGAAAAAGCACCGGCUAACUCCGUGCCAGCAGCCGCGGUAAUAC
rnacentral:rRNA from 1 species